GACAUAUUUAUUACUAGCUAAAGUAAACUGAACAGGACACACGACCAACUAUCAGUAGUAAUGUUCCGUUAAUCCAGUCUUAACGGCUGACUGAUGGUAGUUCGUUGACUGUUAAGCUAACGUUAGCAAAGUGCUACGUUAACGUCAACAAAUGAACUGCCGCCCUGCUGAUGCUGGACAGAAAGACUAAAGUGAUAUUCAUAUCUGGAGCAUCCCGAGGAGGAUCGUCAUUCAACUCCAGUAAGUCAUCCAUUACCAAAUCACCACCAUGAAGACACCAAACAAUGAUC